GAAAUAUCUCCCUUUAUUCAUACGAUGGAUGCUUCUUCCCUUCUCCCUAUCCAGCACGUCACAUGUACACGUUCUCUCUCCUUUUGUUCUUAUCACACACGGACACGCCCUACUCCAGCACAUGUCUACGAUCUGGAGGCUUCUCAUAUCCAUCUCCUAAACACGCCGGCACCCUUCCUUGCUCCCUCCCCACGCAGAUGCUGCAGCACUAAACUGCCUCCUCUGUUAGCCACGCUCGGCUCCUGGGCAUCAGCCCCCACGCCAGAAGCUAGGGCACCACCCUCUUGAUGUUUCCCAUGGCCGCCUCCAGCUGCUCCUAUGGCGAGCUCGCCCUCCCUCUGUGCCCUGCCCUCUGUAUGACGCUCUCCCUGCUCCAGUUUGUUUUUCCAGCCGCCCUCCCCAUCACUCUCACAUGGCUGCUGCACCAGCCCCAUCCUCUAGUUGUGCUCGCUGCUGGCCCUAUGGCGAGUCCCUGCUUUGUCCUUGCCAUGGAUGCCGUCCAGCACACAUGCACUGGUUGUGUUUCCUCCCUCGUGUAACGCCUUGGUGGCCGUCGUGCAGCACGACGUGCCUGCGCAGCCCCGGCAGCGACGUCGUCCAUCCCAUUCGGCGUGCUCUAGGUGUUCGACGAAAUGGGAGAACCAAGGAAUUGUCGUCGUUUCUUAUCCGCGACCCCGCCAGUCUUGUGCGCAGUCCACAUAUUGUGUUCCUCAUCGGUGAGGCUUGUUGUUCAUGCCUUGUUCGAUCCCCAUUUGGUACCUGCAUCUUGAUAUUAACUAUAUGUGUUUGUGUGUUUGAUGUGGACUGAAAUCCUUGGCGUUGUUGGAGAGAGGAACCCCAGGGUUGGGUGAUGAAGAGAAGGUCUAUGCGCAUCGCUCGCCAGAUGUUCGAUAGAAGACUUCAAUCAAAGGCUGUCGUCGUUCUUGCAAAAAAAAAAUCAAGUCGGAUCAUGAUGUGGUACGCUAGUGAACUACGUGAUGUGGAGGACCAAAGAUGAGUCGACCACAAGAUGCUGUUAAGCGUGGGCUACUCUGCAAGAUGAUGUCGUCAGUCGGGCCAACCUGAAGAUGGAUAAAUCAAGCAAGUGCCCACCUGAGAGAGAGGAUCGGCAAGCAAGUCUCGUCUAACAAACACUAACCUAGUGUUAUCCCAGGCAAGCCCCGGUGCAUUUGCCACCUCCUUGUUGUUUUAAAACUUUUAUCACUUAUAUGCUGCAUUAGGUUAUAGGAGUUGAGUGAUGAAACAAUUGAUGCAUUACCAUUCCUUGGAAUUUGAUUAUCCUCCUUGCUACCUGUUUUAUAAAGAGAACUAAUGAGGCUUAGCCCUGCCUAGAGAAUUAAAACUUGUUUCUGUUUAAAAGAAUGUUGUGUAACACUGGGUAUGGGUUUGUUUUAUGAAAAAGGACUUGUAAUGGUGAGAGCAUCAUCUGCAGUGAUGAAUUCAUCAUUCAAGUGUUGUACCUCUGUCA